rnacentral:snoRNA from 1 species
ACCCUCCGGUUCCCUCUGCCAUCAGAUCUAGUUGCUGGUCUUGGUGGUUGCAAAGCAGGAAGAUUACAAUGAAGCUGUCCUCACUGAGAUGUGAUUUGGUACAGAGCUUGUGGGUCAGGUUCAAGCAGGC